GUCUAUGGGGCAGCAGGCGCGAAAGCUUCGCAAAGUGCGAAAGCAAGAGAAGGAGAAUCCUAGAGUAGCUAGUAACAGUAACUGUUGAUGUCUAAGUCACUGUGAUACUUACU
rnacentral:rRNA from 1 species